UCCUUGGAGGUCUCUGGGGACUCGCGAUUCAGGCAUAACAAGGGCACCUGCCUGGGCUACUCUGUGAAGGCUGCCUGAACAGCAUGGUUGGAGACACCCGGUCCUAGGAGGAGAGAUUGGGGUGUUGCCAGUUCUCUCCCCAACAUCAACACUGUGGGGCUCCCUGGAAUAGGACAGAUGCCCCCAGUGGGGGCGGGACCGCUUACACCACACCUCGCCCCUCAGUGCCUGGUAACUGCAUAACUGCUCAUCUACUGGAAUGAGACCGACACCCACAGAACCAGAUGGCCUCUCCUCCAGACCAACACAGCCCCUGGUCCCAGGCACCAGCAGACAACUGUCCUGCAGUUUGAAAAGCUGACUUCCAGUGACUGCAUCAACUGGCGAUCUUGCUCUACUGGCCUGCAAUUGGGUUUGACAGAUGCGACGCACUGAUAGGCCACCAGAAGAUGGCCUCGGGGAGUGUAUCAGAGUCUCCAAACCUCACGUCUCUCUGGAAAUUCUGACAGGAUGGCUUUGGGGUCACGCUUCUCACUCCUCAGCCAACCAUGUCUGCUAAGGCAACACUGUGUGCCUCACUGGUCAACACCCGUCAGAGGAAUUGGAAGUUUGAAGUAUAGAAGAUUACCUUCACUUAUAUAUCCAUGCUGUCCCAGAGAGUGUGGCCUUCCUGUGCUGAGCUGGGAGUCCUGCAGACUUGGAACUUGGCGUUCACGUAACACCUCCUGGGUGUCUCAUUUCCCUAUUCUCAUUUGCACAAUGGGGAACAUUUGUUUCAUGUAAAGAAAAUGUACUUAAGACAAUU